UUUCCGUAGGUGAACCUGCGGAAGGAUCAUUGUCGAAGCCUGCCCAGCAGAACAACCCGCGAACUUGUAUAAACAACCGGGGGCAGGGGCGAUCUCGCCCCGUGCCCUCGAACGGCAGGGAGACACUCGUGCCUUCUUGUCGAACAACGAACCCCGGCGCGGUCUGCGCCAAGGAACUUCAAUUAAAGAGUGCCUCCGGUCGCCUCGGAAACGAUGCGCGUGUCGGAGGCGAAUCUUGUACAAAACCAUAACGACUCUCGGCAACGGAUAUCUCGGCUCUCACAUCGAUGAAGAACGCAGC
rnacentral:misc_RNA from 1 species